rnacentral:lncRNA from 1 species
UGGCCAUGGCCGAUUGUUUGGUACCAAAAAAGUUAACAUGGAAGACUCUCCAUAUCUUCAAGCACAUCGAUGUGUAAGAUCAAUUGGUAUAAUGGGAAGGAGUAUCUUGGUUGUAGAAUGGAGUCUUGUAAUUGAUUGAUUUAGAAACAUCCAAGUCUUGUAAUUGCAGGGUUGAGCAACAUCCGCCAUCUCCGAUCCACUCCUGGUUGCGCUAAAGUGGCUAACUGUACAACACGUUUAGGAAUAACACACCACAACCAGUUUCUCUAUCCUGGAGAGAGAAAGAAACCACGGUAGAAUAUGUACCCUUAAACAUUGCAAGGAACUUGUUAAUACAGAAUAAUAUAAGAACUUUCUCAGCUAUAUGUGGACUAUGGUUGUCACAUUAUAUGAGAUAGCGGUCAUCGAGGAUAAAGUUACUCACCUACUGAAAACGUAAAUGCAAGUAGUAAUAUAUUCCUCUAUGUAUUCGUACAAAUAAUCUCUUCUAACUAUUUUAACCUUGUCAUAUAUUGUUGAUAACCUCAUAAUAUUAAGGUCAUAACCACACUCUAUCUUAAUAAACGACCACCUUUAUAGUCAUCAAAAAGCAGUUGAGGAAAAGCUGUAUAUCACCCUUAAGAAAAGGUAAUAACAUCAAUCUCACAGUAAGAAUUAUGUUAAAAAAGAUUAUAGAACAUUAUCAUCAUCAAUAUAGUAAUUCAAAUGAAUGCAGGAAAGAUAGUAACACUUAAAACAAAACUAUAAACAAUUGUUAACUUAAAAAUGUUGCUUCAUGUUAUUUCAAAGAGAUAAUCAACUCUUGAAUAGACAUUAGUUAAAGUAGACAACUAAAACAUAACAGGCACCAAUAUUAUGGAUUGGCAAAGGCAGCGAGGAGCUUCAGUAUUAGCAAGCCCUGAAAGUAAAUAGUGAUAUUUUCAAAUUACUCUAAGAAGCUAACUAUCACACAAGGAAAAGAAUGAGCAGAAAAAACAUGAAAGAUUUAAUGAGUCAAUGUCAAAUUGGACAGGUUUUCGCUACAUCUUUGAUGAGUUUGUGACUCCAAGUUCUCUUUCUUGAAUCAGUUACUCUUGCUCUCACUUUUAGCAAAUAUUGAAACUCAAUGACAUCGCUUCCAGGACCCCAACUUUGACUCUUAAGAAGAGGUAUAAAGGAACAUGAAGAGUCUUGAGAAAGGACAAAUGAACAUGACACAAGGACAAACGAACAUGACACCCUUGAUUUUUGCAUCAAAAUCCGCACCCAAUACAUCCACAACUCAAAGGUAUCCACCCCAAGUACCAAGAUAAAAUAGAAUCACAUACAGUGACAUCAAGUCCUUACAGUCAGAUUCGCAUCAAUGGCUAAGAUUGCCACACCAAUUAGGUAUUUAGCUUUUUUUUUUUCUUCACCAGAUACAUUUUUGUAUUGUUCUUUAUAGCCCGUUUGGCCAAAAAAUCAGCUUAUUUUGAUAAGUGCUUUUUCUCAAAAGUGCUUUUUCAAAAGUACUUUUGAUGAGAAUCAGUUUGUGUUUGGCUAAUUAAUUUAAAACGUACUUCUAAGCAGCAAUUAGUGUUUGACCAAGCUUUUAAAAAAUGAUUCUAAGUGUAUUUUUCUCAAAAGUGCUUCUCAAAAAAGUGUUUUUGGGAAGAAGCUACUUUUUUCUGCGUCUCCAAAACUGCUUCUACUUCUCCUCGAAAGCACUUUUUUUUUUCCUAAAAGCUUGGCCAAACACUUCAAAUUUAGAAAAAUAAUACUUUUUUUGAAGAAAAAAAAUGUUUUUGAACUUGGAGAAGCUUGGCCAAACAUGCUAUUAGACUUGUAAGUGUUCACGGAUAGUUCUGCUGCAUCUUCAAGUAAUACAGGUGAAAUUGGAGUUAUGAGUUCCUUGUUGGUUGUAAAGAUAUUGAAACAUAUAUUAUAUCCUGAAAAGUAGGUAGAUUCAUUUCAUCAACAUUUUAUGCGAUGAGAUGCACAUAUAUAUUGAGGAUUUAGAUAUCAUUAAAUACUAAAUGGUUUACUUUAUUUGAGUGAAGCUGCAUUCUCUCUGAUCUUUAAAUAGUGUAGGACAUAUCACCAUAUAGAUCAUGAAAUGCAUAAAAAACUUUGUGAAUGGAUGAAGACUAAUGUAGUGAAAACUUAAAGCCCUCUCCAAUCUAUAUUUUUCACUCAAAAACAUCAUGAUUCAGGAUUCGAAGUAGAGCGUUGUAAAUAUCCUUUAUUUUGAGUAAUCAAGUGCACCAAUACCUUAUCCUUUAAAAAAAAAAAACAGUUUCAACUAGUAGUUAACCUCUUUUUAUAUACCUGAAUAAACUGCUUGACAUAAGUCUCACGCCUUGCACUAUUCCUUUCUCUAAUUAGUUUGGUAUAUCAUAACAACUCUGGGACGGUUUUAAACCACUACACAAUGUCAUAAUCAUAAUUGAAAAAGUUCUAGAAAAAUAAAAUAUCAGAAGUGGAACUAAUGUCAGACCACCUUUUUUAAGCAUUAACAUCACUUGUCUUAACUCCUCAUCAGAAAAGAGAUUUCACUCAAUAGCACAUAUGAAAUACGGAAAAAUUAAAGCAUAUAACAAGUUGCUCUCCUUCUCCUCUAGUACACUUGUUUUCAUGCCUAUCCUUUUAUCCCCAAGAGUUAUGAUCUCCAUGCUGCAAGACACUAAAACUUAAGACACCAUCCUAAGAACGUAGCUCCAAUUUUCUAAACGAUUAUUUGAUUUCUAUAUGUAAAAAAAACCAGAAGAACUAAAACAAAUAUGGUUAUAACCAUUGAAAAAUAUGUACUCAAGUUUAUUUUGUAUGAAAACUAAUUAAUGUAAGAGAAUAUUAUCGUUUUGCUUAAAUUCUAUCAGAGAAUGUCAACUAUAGAUGCAAAAGUACCUGGCAUCCAAUUUCUUUACGCUAUUCUAUAUGAAAACUCAUGAAUUUAAGAGGUGAUUGUUCAUUAAAUUCUAUCAGAGAACAUCAACUGUUGAUGCCAAAAGAAUUCAGCAUAUUGCAUACGACAUCUUAGUUCCUCAUUGACCUUUGUUUUAUUACUUUUUUCGCAAGAUAAUACAAAUAUUUUUCACAGAAACUAUAUUGAACAUGAAAAUGUGCAUAUAACAUGUUUAGGGACGGAAAUGUAAUGUAAGUAAUUUUCCGCGAGAAAGCAGUAAAGACCAAAAAUCACAAUAGCUAGCAAUUUUUUUUUUAUCGAAACACAAGACAUGAUUUCUUUUACAGUUGUGAUUAUAAUAGUGUAAUAUCAGUAGAGAUGAAUUUAAACAGUGAAAUUUUUUCUUCUCGAAGUUCAUCAACUACAUAUCUUCUAUGAUGUCCAAUUUCAAAUGCAGUGACCUAAAAAGUUUCAUUUACCGGUAAAAUCAUUAAUGUUUUAUCAGGCAUUUCAUCAAACAUCUUAGAGUCAUCUGUAUCAUGUCAAGUAAUUAAGAAAGAAAAAGAUUAGAUAACUGGAAAUUUAAAGCAAUAAUAAAAUAAAAUUAGACAUUAGGACAGAAACUAUCACUAACUAUAACAUUUACACAUACAGAACACCAUGAAAGUAUGCCUACCGAUACUGAAGUGUGCUUACUCGUAUUGUCAAGACUUAAUCUUCUAGCGACAAAUUUGAUGCUUCAAAGCACUGAAGGAGAAAGAGAAUCGUAAUUUCAGAAAUGAAUAAACAUUAAAAGAUAUGCAUGUGCCGGUUAGAUAAAAUUAUUGACAUAUGUAAAUCUAGCAAAAAUCUACCAUCAAAUAAGUGCAAUAAAAGCAAAUGAUUAAUUAGACAAAAAACUUGCCAGAACUUCGAACCGAAACGAUAAAAAAUAAGCCAAAAGGGAGAAUCUUUGAAGAAAUACACAAAAUAGAAAAGCUUUGAGAGAAAUUUAGUGAAGACCACAAAGAUGCAGAAGGAAUUCGAAGAAAAUUGAAAAUAGGUAAGAAGGUUCAAGAGAGAUGAGCAAGCAGCAUAACUGUGUAAAAAAAGUGGGUGAAUC